CAAGAAGGGGAGGUUAACAUCCCAGCUGCAAGCCCUCAUAUUCAAGGUUCAUGCUACAGCCAGAAGUGUCCUUGGAGUCUAGUUCAAAACUGGUGAGAGUGAACCAUGGAGUGGGAACCAUUGGUGGAGAGGCUGGCCUCAAGGAAGUGAAGGGUUUCAGCCAGAAUGUAUUGACGCACAACCAGGAAACCACAAGACUGAGUAACCGCCAGUUGCCAUGCAAUAAAUCAGAUCAUCAUAUGGCAAACCCAGUUAGAAGUCGGGACUAGCAGGAUAGCUGAACCAGGUCCUGAGAGGUAAACGAUGGAGCAAUUGUGCUGGCUGUGCAGUACUUCAAGUUAAUUGCUCAGUAAGGGGAUAUUUUUCCUGGAAAGACAAUACAAAAUUUCUGAACUGUUGAUUCGGUCGUGGGUACUGGAUCCUCUGUACAGAAAAAUAAAGCAAGCGUGAUGAAUCUUU